rnacentral:misc_RNA from 1 species
GAUGAAGAACGCAGCGAAAUGCGAUAAGUAAUGUGAAUUGCAGAAUUCAGUGAAUCAUCGAAUCUUUGAACGCACAUUGCGCCCGCCAGUAUUCUGGCGGGCAUGCCUGUUCGAGCGUCAUUUCAACCAUCAAGCCCCAGGCUUGUGUUGGGGACCUGCGGCUGCCGCAGGCCCUGAAAACCAGUGGCGGGCUCGCUGUCACACCGGGCGUAGUAGAUCUUAUCUCGCUCAGGGCGUGCUGCGGGUUCCGGCCGUUAAAAAGCCUUUUUUACCCAAGGUUGACCUCGGAUCAGGUAGGAAUACCCGCUGAACUUAAGCAUAUCAAUAAGCGGAGGA